UUAUUACUUCCUCCGUUCUAAAUUACUCGUCACAGAAAUGAAUGUAUCUAAAAUUAAAAUACAUCUAGAUACAUUUAUACCUGCAACAAGUAAUUUGAAACGGAGGGAGUAUGUG
rfam:Triticum urartu cultivar G1812 contig100042, whole genome shotgun sequence.